rnacentral:lncRNA from 1 species
AAUGAAACAAUGAACUUGACAGAACUGAGCUGCGAAGUAAGCAGUGUCCAGUUUUCUUUCUUGGGGGCGCUUAUGAUUAUGGUCGAGCCCACAGUAUCGGACACUUACUCUGCAUUUCUCCAUUACACAAUGCAGGAGUUCGUUGGUGCCCUUUGGCUCUUACAGAAUCCAGACAAAAUCAGAGAGUUUCUACAGAAGUGCCAGACUGAAGAAUGGAAACACACAAAACACAUGGUUCCUUUCAUGUGUGGGCUUCUGAAUGAGAGGAAUAUUCGAUUGGUAAAUGGUCUUGUUCCAGCUCAACAGAUCAAGGAGACGUCAGAUUGGUUCUUCAAGGAAGUGGUGAACACAUUUCUUCCACUUCAAACAAACCAAGAUCAUGCAGAAGGUGGUGCUCCUGAGUUUGAGGUAGAUCUUCUGUUUUUAUGUCAGUGCUUGUAUGAAUCUCAGUCUACUGAGGCCUGUUUGCUUCUUCUGGACAAACUGGACUACAAUCUACACCUGGAUGAAGAACAUCUUGAUCCUCACCAGUGCUGUGCAGUCUCCUAUAUGAUCAGUCAGUCUGCAGAGAGAAAGGUUGACUUGGACCUGAACAGCUGCACUGUGUCAGACCAAGGACUAAGGCUGAUACUGGGCUCUCUGAAGAAUGUCCGAUAUCUCAGAUCUGACCCCUCAAUGCUGUGUCAACUCUGGACAACUUUGCUGAGCGGUGAGGCAGACAUUGACUUCACCAGCUUGCUUGGUCUCUGUGGAAAUGAGUUGCGCCUUCCAUUCCUGGGUGAAAGACGAGUGUUUGAGAGAGCAGAAGAAGUGAUGAAGCAGAGCCUGGAGAGGGUUAACCUCUGUCUACACUGGGAUCGGACAACUCUUCUCAGUGAAGCUCUCAGCAAGACCAUUUUAAAGUGUUUAACACAUAUCAACAAACUCAGUUUUAACCCACUACAUAAUCAGAGAGGAUCCCCUGAAAAACUAGAGAAAGAACAGAAAGCAGUCCUACUAAAUUUGUGUCUACAAGCCGCACUUUAUCACAGAGAAACGUUCCAGGGAGCUGUGAACACACUGCUGUCACUCUUCUCUGUGUAUCAAACUGAGAGAUAUGACAUCCUGCUGGAUCUGUACUCACAUGUGAAGGACUAUGAGACUCAAACAGGCAGGAGUGUCCUUCCAUCAUUGAGGCCACUUUAUCAGUCAGCUCCUGCAGUCUGGUCCAUAGACCUCUCAGAGAGAAAAGCCUCCCUCCUCCUAGAAGUGCUGAAACUCGAACCAGAUAAAAAAUCUGUCGAGCUGAAAGGCUGGUCAGACAAAGAGAGUGAAGUGAGGAGUUUCCUUCAGUGUCUGCCCUACAUCUCACAGCUGAGUUUUACUUCACCACAGGAUCAGAGUAGAUCCCAUGAAGAGUGGAGAAAGAGAGAGAAGACAUUCCUACUGAAUCUGUGUCUUCAAGCAGCCCUCCAUGCGAGAGAACACAUACAAACAACUGUAGAGAAAGUGUUUUCAUUGUCUGAAGUUUAUCAUGAUCGGAAAUGGGAUCUCCUGCUGGAUCUGUACUCACAUGUGAAGGACUAUGAGACUCAAACAGGCAGGAAUGUCCUUCCAGCAUUACAGCCAGUUUACCAGUCAGCUCCUGCAGUCUGGUCCAUAGACCUCUCAGAGAGAAAGGCCUCCCUCCUCCUAGAAGUGCUGAAACUCCAACCAGAGAAGAAACCAGUAGAGCUGGAAGGCUUGUCAGAUGAAGAGAGUGAAGUGAGGAGUUUCCUUCAGUGUCUGCCCUACAUCUCACAGCUGAGUUUCUAUCCAUGGUGGUCUGACAACUCAAAGCUGAUCAAGUUCCUGGUGGGUCUCCUGUCUCAAGCAGCAGAGUGGGAGGAGCAGUCAGGAGAGAAGACACUGAAGCUGCUAUCAUCAGUGUUUACUUACAGCACUUUCCCUCUCUAUGACUGGGAUGAUUAUCAUAAGUGGUUUCAAUGUGAUUUCCUGCUGGAUCUGUGCUCACAUGUGAAGGACUAUGAGACUCAAACAGGCAGAAGUGUCCUUCCAGUAUUACAGCCAGUUUACCAGUCAGCUCCUGCGGUCUGGUACAUAGACCUCUCAGAGAGAAAGGCCUCCCUCCUCCUAGACGUGCUGAAACUCCAACCAGAGAAGAAACCAGUAGAGCUGAUGAAGUGGUCAGAUGAAGAGAGUGAAGUGAGGAGUUUCCUUCAGUGUCUGCCUUACAUCUCACAGCUGAGUUUUACUUCACCACAGGAUCAGAGUAGAUCCCAUGAAGAGUGGAGAAAGAGAGAGAAGACAUUCCUACUGAAUCUGUGUCUUCAAGCAGCCCUCCAUGAGAGAGGAACCAUACAAACAACUGUAGAGAAAGUGUUGUCACUGUCUGAAGUUUAUCACGAUCGGAAAUGGGAUCUCCUGCUGGAUCUGUACUCACAUGUGAAGGACUAUGAGACUGAAACAGGCAGGAGUGUCCUUCCAGCAUUACAGCCAGUUUACCAGUCAGCUCCUGCAGUCUGGUCCAUAGACCUCUCAGAGAGAAAGGCCUCCCUCCUCCUGGAAGUGCUGAAACUCCAACCAGAGAAGAAACCAGUAGAGCUGGAAGGCUUGUCAGAUGAAGAGAGUGAAGUGAGGAGUUUCCUUCAGUGUCUGCCUUACAUCUCACAGCUGAGGCUGAAUGUGGGCAUGGCAGUGAGACUGGCCAGACUGGCUAGGAGGACAGGGAGAGGGGGUACUCCACUGACUGUCCCAGAACUCUCCCUGGUCCUAAAGAGCAGCCAGCCACCAGAGAGAGUGUUAUCCAGAGCUCUGAGUAGUGUGGCGUCCCUGCUGAGAUUCUGGAGGGUUCAGUGUCUGGACCUGACUGACUUCUGCAUCCAGGGUCACUCUCUCAUCACACUGCUGUGUCACCAGGACCCUCACACUCUCAGACUGAACUCAGACACUCUGCAGCAGCUGGCUGUGGCUGUGUAUGAAGCUCAGGACAAGGACUUGACUCAGUGGUUCCUGGAGAAGGUUGGUGGAGACCUGACCUCCUGCAGGCUGGACUGGGACGUGCUUCUCUCUCUGCUGCAGCAUUCAACCCACAACAUCACAGUGGACCUCAGGAAGAACAGGCUUCUAGAGAAGAACAUCUCAGAUCUUCUCCCCUUUCUGGGAAGGGUUAUAUUCAAGAGGCUCAGUUCCAGCUUUGUGAAGUCCACCAUCAGACAGAUCUAUGACAGUAGAGACAGUGACUGUGUGUCCAGUUUGUUGAGGUCUUCAGACCAUUGGAUCAACCUGAACAGCAGAGAGCUGGACAGAGUGGACUGUACUGCUCUGUGUUUCACCCUGCAGCACAGCCACCAAGUCAAAGUCAACCUGCUGUGGACCUCCAUACCACCGGGGGAGAUAGAGAGCAUCCUGCCUCUUCUGGACAGAGUCUCCCAACUCAGUGUUGACAGGAAGCUGUUGCUGAGUUUCCUCCACUCCUGCGCUGCCUCUCAGAUCCUACAGGGGGCACUAUCACCACCACCAACAAUAACAACAACAGCAGCAGAGCUGCUCAGGGCUCUGCAGCACAGGUUGGACUUCUCCUGCUCCUCCUCUGUGGACCUGUCAGCUCACGACCAGGGGGAGGCGCUGUGUCUGACCACUGACCACUGUAGGGCCAUAAACUCUGUUCUGAAGCAGAGCCAACACAGCACACGGCUGGUUCAGAACCCGACCCGGAACCAGUCCCGAAACCAGCCCCAGCCCCAGCAAAGCUCUGCUACUUCAGCUGCUGGACCAUGUGUGUGAGGGGAUUGAAGAGGGGGUUCUGAAGCACGCAGAGUCCCUGUGCAGAGCCCUGGAUGGGGAGCUGGACCUCAGUAAGACCAGGCUGAACCAGAAGGCCUGUGGAUCUCUGGCCCUGGUUCUGGAACACUCAGAGGGGCUGUCAGAACUGUACCUCAACCACUGCCAACUCACAGACCACCACCUACAGCCCCUGCUCACACACCUGCACAAAGUUGAAGUCCUGGACCUGAGUCACAAUGACAUCACUGAUGCUCUGACCGACAGAAUACUCCAAUUGGUCUCUACCAACACUUCAAUACGCACCGUACGGCUCUUCAACAACAGAAUCAACGACAGAAGUCCGUUCCUGACAGACAAGAGGUUUGAGAUCUGGUGAAGCAGCAUCAGGUCCAAGUCCAGACAGAGGAAGAGAAGAUGGAUGUUGAAGAAGAGAAGAUGGAUGUUGAAGAAGAGAAGAUGGAUGUUGAAGAUGGGUGUAGUAGCUACGAAGCCUCGGCAGGGUGAGACUAGAGGGACUUUUCUGACCAGCAUCCCAUCAACCUUGACCCUAACUGUAACCUGAUUUUAACCAAUUCUUAAAUAUUGAUUUGCAUGUCAGCCACAUCCCCUUAGUUUUUAGCUGACCUCAUCAUGGUGUCAGACGAACGGCAAGUGAUUAUGGGGCUAAGGUAUUGUAAAAAUAGUUGAGACUCCAGAACUCUGGAAUGUUCUGAGUGUAAUGGAUAGGAAUGUGUAGUUCUAUUUACCUCUUACAUGGUUCUUAAACACACAGGAACAUGUGUAGUAUAACGUUUUUUGAGCUUUACUUAACUUGAUGAUUUUUGUGAUCAGUCAAUUUGUGAAAUUCCAUCAGAAGGAAUAGAUUGUAUAUGCAUUUCUAUAGUCUAGUAUUUAUCAGGUGGAUGGGAAUGUGUUCUACAGUUGCAAUGGGAGCCUUAAUACAUGAGUGUUUUGUUGCAGGUCAACUGCAUGGUAUUGUGUUACUCAGGCUAGCCUUGUUGUGGACCAAGCUUCCCUAUUCAGGAAGCCAGAGGUGUGUUGAGUUCGCUUGAACGUUUGCUACGUUGUGCAACGGUUUGUACUGAAUGACACGUUUCCCCAAAAUGUUUUUGAACAGACUUCGAGGUACAUUUGGUGGGUGUGGCGAGGUGUGGCUUGAAGCAAUGAGUGACAUAUUUUUAUUUUUAAAGGGCAGUGGCCAUGCUGACAGCAUUCUCCAACCCACAACCCAACCCUUCCCCAUUUUUCAACUGGUUGUUCAGUACAUCACCGUUUCCGUACAAUUGAACCGUUUCAGAAUGUAAAAACAUACUGAUCGCAGCCCUGGUGAAGUCCAUGGUAGAAAGUAACUACAAGUGUGGUGGAAACCAUUGAAGCCUCGCAACACGUCAAACCAAUCAAUUGCCUUGCUUUGGCCGAGCACUAAAGGUGCCCACUAGUGCCGUAGGAGCAACAGUGUGAGUGGAUGCCCAGGAAGUUGCUGAUGUAUAACAUAGCCUUUAUGUACACAUACCAUAACAAAAUGUAUUUAGUAGAGCAGUUGUAAUACCUUCAUCGACUUGUGAAGAACAUUACACGCAGCUUCCCUUUUAGGGGCAUGUGGGGGAGGUUUCUUGAAAUAUAACAUCCAAUCAAAAUGUAGCCGCUGGAACCUAGCAGACCAUUCUAACUGUUUUGGCUAAUACAAAAUUCUCCAGACCUCCAAAGGAGGCAUGACAACAAUGUGAUUUUGGAGGUAUGGCUACAUGAGACUAGUACAAGCCUUUCUCAUAUCAAAACAGACAAACUAUAAGAAAUAAUAUAUGAAUAUUUUGUGUUUUUAAUAAAUGUACCUUGAGGCCCAUGAUUGGUUUUUGACUGUGGUCUCUUCAGGUUGAAAUCAUUACUAGUAAAUCCUAAAUAAUCUGUUUCAAGUUAAUGCUGGUAUUAAAGCGAUCCCAUCCCACGUGUAUUUAUUUUCAUGAAAGUUUAAGUUGAGAGCUUAGCACUAUGGACCAGCAGAUGGGGUUGCUUCAGAGAGCCUUGACUGGGGUUAGAACCUACAGCCAUGCUUCAGAGAGCCUUGACUGUGGUUAGAACCUACAACCAUGCUUCAGAGAGCCUUGGCUGGGGUUAGAACCUACAACCAUGCUUCAG